UUAGUGAAAAAAAUUCAAUUCCCUCCCAAAUAAAAAUUCCUAACACUUAGCGCGAAAAAAAAAAAAAAAAAAAAGAUUCAGUUCCUUCGCAAACAGCUUGAAACUCACACGGCGGUCCUUUGCAAAAACAAAACUCAGUAGCGGCCCUCUGCAAAAUACACAGCGAAAAACAGGCGAGAACACAGUGGUAAUCGUCGGCGGACUUCAAUCUCUCGCCAACAAAGUGGUAACCGUCGGGGCCAUCACCGCACUAGCGAAAAACACCGACGCUGUUUCUCCCUCGCCGGCCAGCCACCGCCGUCGGCGUCGCUACAGUGGUUGUAUCUCAAUGCAGUGGAUUAUAGAGAUUGUUUGUUGUAUGGAGGCCACAUCAUAGCAAAUGAUGAAAGAAUGACUAAAUGGUUAUCCUUAGGCAAGGGUAAGAGUUGGGAAAAGACAAAAAUGACAAAGUUAUGUUUGACAAAGAACAUUCAAAUUACCAUUAUCUGUUGUUUUAUAUGAUUUUGUUUCUAGUACUGCAAAUUAAAGUGAGUUUUUGACAACAAUUUUUAUGGUAUGAGUACAUUACAUAGUUGAUAAAGAAUUGAUCAUUGCCUCUCUGCUUCUGUUUCUAAUUAUGAAUUUCAGGAUUGAGUCUGAUAUUGUUUUGAUUGCAAAAUUAUGCCAGGGAAUGCAUUUAGAUCCCAGUAUAUAUCAAAGGACUAAUAAUUAGUUGGCCUGUUUCCAGAUGUAAUAGAGCGGAAAAUUAAGUAGCGCGCAUUUUGACAAGGGGGAUGACGUAAGAUAUAUUUGAAUUACUUUCCAUGCAAUACAGAUUUUAUGACAUUGUUGGUGAUGUAUGCAUGGUGAUGGAAGAUUUCAGCUCUAGUGACCGGUGAAUUCUACACUAGGAAGAAUCAUUUUCCUGGUUUUGGCAGGCCUUUUGUAUUUAAUGCAGAAGUUUUGUUGAGGGUUGGGCGUAAUGUGGAAGCUAAAGAUGCGGUUAGGGGUGCUUUAAAAUCACCAUGGUGGACUUUGGAUUGUGAAUAUACCAGGUCUGCCUCCUCUACAUUAGAGAGGUACCAGAAGUGCAACUAUGGAGCACCAGAGACAAAUAUAUCUACAAGGGACUCUUUGAGUGAUCUCCAUGGUGUUCCACUUGCUCCUUCAUCUUUACUUGGGAUGGCAACCUUCAUUCCACCAAGUCAAAUUGCUGCACUGCAUCCAUUUUUAAUGCAUCAAUAGGGAGUAGGUAUGAUUUGAUCAUUAGAACGUUGUGAUCAUUUAGAUUUGGUUCGUGGAAUUGUUUUUUGUAGUAUUAUG